UACGAAGGGGGCUAGCGUUGUUCGGAUUUACUGGGCGUAAAGCGCACGUAGGCGGAUUGGUCAGUUAGGGGUGAAAUCCUGGAGCUCAACUCCAGAACUGCCUUUAAUACUGCCAGUCUCGAGUCCGGAAGAGGUAAGUGGAACGUCCUAGUGUAGAGGUGGAAUUCGUAGAUAUUAGGAAGAACACCAGUGGCGAAGGCGGCUUACUGGUCCGGUACUGACGCUGAGGUGCGAA
rnacentral:rRNA from 1 species